rnacentral:ncRNA from 1 species
UAUCUUUGCGCCCUGAUUGAAAAUCAAUCAUGUACAUAAAAAUCAUUUAAAACAAUAUUGGAAUG